rnacentral:rRNA from 1 species
ACUCAAAGGAAUAGACGGGGGCCCGCACAAGCGGCGGAGCAUGUUGCUUAAUUCGACGCAACGCGAAGAACCUUACCAAGGUUUGACAUGGCCGGAAAACUCGCAGAGAUGCGGGGUCCUUCGGGGCCGGUCACAGGUGGUGCAUGGCUGUCGUCAGCUCGUGUCGUGAGAUGUUGGGUUAAGUCCCGCAACGAGCGCAACCCUCGUCCCAUGUUGCCAGCAAGUAAUGUUGGGGACUCAUGGGAGACUGCCGGGGUCAACUCGGAGGAAGGUGGGGAUGACGUCAAGUCAUCAUGCCCCUUAUGUCUUGGGCUGCAAACAUGCUACAAUGGCCGGUACAAAGCGCUGCGACAUCGUGAGAUGAAGCGAAUCGCAUAAAGCCGGUCUCAGUUCGGAUCGGGGUCUGCAACCCGGCCCCGUGAAGCCGGAGUCGCUAGUAAUCGCGGAUCAGCAACGCCGCGGUGAAUACGUUCCCGGGCCUUGUACACACCGCCCGU